rnacentral:rRNA from 1 species
GACGAACGCUGGCGGCGUGCUUAACACAUGCAAGUCGAACGGAAAGGCCCUGCUUGCAGGGUACUCGAGUGGCGAACGGGUGAGUAACACGUGGGUGAUCUGCCCUGCACUUCGGGAUAAGCCUGGGAAACUGGGUCUAAUACCGGAUAGGAGCCAUUUUUAGUGUGAUGGUUGGAAAGUUUUUUCGGUGUAGGAUGAGCUCGCGGCCUAUCAGCUUGUUGGUGGGGUAAUGGCCUACCAAGGCGGCGACGGGUAGCCGGCCUGAGAGGGUGGACGGCCACAUUGGGACUGAGAUACGGCCCAGACUCCUACGGGAGGCAGCAGUGGGGAAUAUUGCACAAUGGGCGCAAGCCUGAUGCGGCGACGCCGCGUGGGGGAUGACGGCCUUCGGGUUGUAAACUCCUUUCGCUAGGGACGAAGCUUUUUGUGACGGUACCUAGAGAAGAAGCACCGGCUAACUACGUG